CAAUAAGCGGAGGAAAAGAAACCAACAGGGAUUGCCCCAGUAACGGCGAGUGAAGCGGCAACAGCUCAAAUUUGAAAUCUGGCUCCGGCCCGAGUUGUAAUUUGUAGAGGAAGCUUUUGGUGAGGCACUUUCUGAGUCCCCUGGAACGGGGCGCCAUAGAGGGUGAGAGCCCCGUAUAGUUAGAUGCCGAGCCUCUGUAAAGCUCCUUCGACGAGUCGAGUAGUUUGGGAAUGCUGCUCAAAAUGGGAGGUAAAUUUCUUCUAAAGCUAAAUAUUGGCCAGAGACCGAUAGCGCACAAGUAGAGUGAUCGAAAGAUGAAAAGCACUUUGAAAAGAGGGUUAAACAGCACGUGAAAUUGUUGAAAGGGAAGCGCUUGUGACCAGACUUGCGUCGGGCUGAUCAUCCGGUGUUCUCACCGGUGCACUCUGCCCGGCUCAGGCCAGCAUCGGUUUUCGUGGGGGGAUAAAGGCCCGGGGAACGUGGCUCCUUCGGGAGUGUUAUAGCCCUGGGCGCAACGCCCCCGCGGGGACCGAGGUUCGCGCAUCUGCAAGGAUGCUGGCGUAAUGGUCACCAGCGACCCGUCUUGAAACACGGACCAAGGAGUCAAGGUUUUGCGCGAGUGUUUGGGUGUAAAACCCGCACGCGUAAUGAAAGUGAACGUAGGUGAGAGCUUCGGCGCAUCAUCGACCGAUCCUGAUGUUUUCGGAUGGAUUUGAGUAGGAGCGUUAAGCCUUGGACCCGAAAGAUGGUGAACUAUGCUUGGAUAGGGUGAAGCCAGAGGAAACUCUGGUGGAGGCUCGCAGCGGUUCUGACGUGCAAAUCGAUCGUCAAAUCUGAGCAUGGGGGCGAAAGACUAAUCGAACCAUCUAGUAGCUGGUUACCGCCGAAGUUUCCCUCAGGAUAGCAGUGUUGUUCUUCAGUUUUAUGAGGUAAAGCGAAUGAUUAGGGACUCGGGGGCGCUAUUUAGCCUUCAUCCAUUCUCAAACUUUAAAUAUGUAAGAAGCCCUUGUUACUUAAUUGAACGUGGGCAUUCGAAUGUACCAACACUAGUGGGCCAUUUUUGGUAAGCAGAACUGGCGAUGCGGGAUGAACCGAACGCGGGGUUAAGGUGCCGGAGUGGACGCUCAUCAGACACCACAAAAGGCGUUAGUACAUCUUGACAGCAGGACGGUGGCCAUGGAAGUCGGAAUCCGCUAAGGACUGUGUAACAACUCACCUGCCGAAUGUACUAGCCCUGAAAAUGGAUGGCGCUCAAGCGUCCCACCCAUACCCCGCCCUCAGGGUAGAAACGAUGCCCUGAGGAGUAGGCGGCCGUGGGGGUCAGUGACGAAGCCUAGGGCGUGAGCCCGGGUCGAACGACC
rnacentral:rRNA from 1 species